rnacentral:lncRNA from 1 species
CAAACAAGGGGCAAACCCUUGUUCACCCAAGAAUCAUCAAAUUGAAGAGGAAAUUGGACUUCAAAUUCGUGCAUGAACGCAUAUUAACGAUCACCUAAACAAGGGGAUAAUAAGAAAUCAUCAUGUCUAGGUGGAAGCUUGGGAAGAAGCGGGUCAAACGGAUCAAAUAUGGGAGAAAAGCAUAAUUGGAAUGCAAGGUAAGUUAAGCUUACAUCUUGAAAAUAGUACAUCUACUUUUGUGUUUGAUUAAGGACAAGCGACUUAGCUUUGAAAUGAAUCCUUGAAAUAUGACGUUUCGAUGCGAAUCGAUACGGAUCGGAACAAAUAAAAAUGGUAGGAAACCAUAUUUGAUGGUAAAAGGAUAAAAUGGUAAUUUAGUCACGUGUUGACGGAUAAACAAUGAGUUUUGAAAAGUUACUUUAUGGUGUAAGCCAUAAUGGGUAAAAAGGGUAAAAUGGUAAUUUAGUCACGUGUUGACGAAUAAGGGUUGAAGUAUUUAAAAGACGCCCUAUGGUGUAAGCCAUGAUGGGUCAAACGCGUAAGGAAAGGACUUUAAGAAAUACGACCAUAUAGUGAAAAUCCGUAAUGGGACAAAUGAGUGAAAUGGUAAAUAAAUACCAUUCUGCUAUAUAGAUAUAAUGUUUGAUCGUUUAGGCCAAACGGGUCAAAUGGUGACAAUAACGACUAAUGUUUACUUGUUGAGUCUUAUUCUCACAGGGGCGAAUAGCGUAAAGGAUUGCAUUGCUAUUAAUUAGCAACUAAUAAGGUGAGGUAUUAAAAUGGGUUAAUGCUUUGACCCGAGCUAGGUAUGUGUAAUGGGUCAAACUCUCAAUAAGGUCUUAGGGCCGUGGAGAGCUAAUUGAGUUAUGGUCGAACAAUUGGAUGUACCUAAAUUAAGGUAUAUCUAGCGAUUUGAAUUUGAGAUAUUAUGUUCUUCGGGACAUAAUUAAUUUAAAAUGGAAUAUGGGUUAAAAGAGUACAUUUGGUCAAAACAAGUAUAUAAAAUGUCCUUUGUAGUUAAAAGAACUAAAAUUUGACAAAAACGCCCCCGAAUAGCAAAUCGGGCAAGUGGCCUUUAAAGGUAGUUUGAAUAUGAGUUUUAUAAUUUGGUCAAUCCUUCCGGUAGUAUACAGUGGAAGGUUUAAACUAUUUGGGCAUAAUGCUACAUAAAGGGUCAAUUUCGUAAAAUUGUCAAACUUGAGGGUAGGAUAGGAACAUAAUGAUUUCUAUCACAAUCCAUAACAAUUAAAGUUGUGAUGAUAGGUAAAUAAAGAUCAUAAAGUGGGAGCGCAUGUUAUGAAUGGUGAAACUAAGAUAUCGGUCAAAAUAAGUUUUUGUUUGGUCAAAGUAUUCAAACGGGUCAAAAUAAAUGCGUAAACGCAAACCGCGUAAUGGGAGCGUAAACGCAUGUUUAGCAAACCCGGAGGAGGGUUAAAAUAGGUAAGGAAUCAAUCCUUACCAUAGAAAUGUGGAUAAUAUGGCUAAAUAUGGUAACGGGUCAAAUAAUGGCAUAAAUUAAUCUUAAGCCGCUAUCAAGAAGUGUGAGAAUUCAUUAUCCCGGAGGGCAGAUUUUCAGUCUAUAAUAUGGGUGAUCAAUUUACGAUCACAUAGGAACAAACUUGAGGUAAAACGGAUAAGUGUACAAAAAGAUAUGUAAGUUUUUUUUUGUUAAAGGGCAAAAUAGGAAAGACAAGAACCAGCAGGCAUGUACCGUAACCUACGGCCGACUGCCGUAGGCUACGGUGGUAAAGAAAAGACAGCAGAAUCAAGCCAUUUACGGCUGAGUUCCGUCGGCUACCGCAGACGUUGACUGCCUUCUUGUUGUUUAAGGGUCCCGUAGGCUAUGACACAUAUGUCGUAGCUUACGGAGGGUUUCAUAUAUAUAUUUUUGUUUGUUUGUUUGAUAAAUUUGGGUUACUAAUCCAUGUCUAAGCACCCUAUAAUUAGCAUAUGAGUUGUUAUUGGUGUAUAGGUGAUAGCUAGGACCUUACGGAUGAAGAUCAAGCAUAAUGGACGAACCGAACACAACAGAAGAUCAAAAAUUCCGCUUUUGUUUAGUUUUUUUUUAUAAUAACAAACUAUGUUAACGUAAUGAUCGUUUCAAAUACUUACGAAGUUUUAUCCAUAAUUUUGUAUGAAUGGAUAUUUGCAUUAUAAUUAUAAAUGCAAGAU